CAAAAGCUUAGUCCUGACUUUAUUAUCAGCUAUAGCCUAGUUUACACAUGCAAGUAUCCGCACCCCCGUGAGUACCGCCCCAAAAGGACUCUCCCUAGUCACAGGAGCCGGCAUCAGGCCCAUAAAUACUAGCCCACGACGCCCAGCACAUUGCCACACCCCCAAGGGUUAACAGCAGUAGUAAACAUUAAGCCAUAAGUGUAAACUUGACUUAGCUAAGGCAUAUAUAGGGCCGGUCAAAACUCGUGCCAGCCACCGCGGUUAUACGAGUGAGCCCAAGUUGAUAAAAAUCGGCGUAAAGGGUGGUUAAGAGUAUUAUUAAAUAAAGCCGAAAAUCCUAGCAGUUGUUAAAUGCUUGCAAGCAUAAAAAGCCCAAAUACGAAAGUAGCUUUAUGAUCUCUGACCCCACGAAAACUAGGGCACAAACUGGGAUUAGAUACCCCACUAUGCCUAGAUGUAAACAAUAGUGAUACGCAACAAAUCACCCGCCCGGGGACUACGAGCGAAAGCUUCAAACCCAAAGGACUUGGCGGUGCUUUAAUCCCCCUAGAGGAGCCCGUCCUAAAACCGAUUACCCCCGUUAAACCUUACCCCUCCUAGACACACAGCUUGUAUACCGCCGUCGCCAGCUCACCCUAUGAAGGAAAAAUAGUUAGCAAACCCGGAAAUUACCCGAAACGUCAGGUCGAGGUGCAGCCCAUGGAGGGGGAUGAGAUAGGCUACAUUCAUUUUACAAAUGCAUACGAAUGGUGCAUUGAAACACGCAUACUGAAGGAGGAUUUAGCAGUAAGUACAAAAUAGAGUGUUGUACUGAACAAGGCUCAAAAGCGCGCACACACCGCCCGUCACUCUCCCCAAAAAUCCAAUUAUUUUUAACUAAACUUAAUUAUCUGAUUAAUCAAGGGGAGAGAAGUCGAAACAAGGUAAGUGUACUGGAAAGUGCACUUGGAAUAACUA
rnacentral:ncRNA from 1 species